GGGGGAGUUUGGCUGGGGCGGCACAUCU
rnacentral:misc_RNA from 1 species